CCUACGGGAGGCUGCAGUGAGGAAUAUUGGUCAAUGGGCGCAAGCCUGAACCAGCCAAGUAGCGUGAAGGAUGACUGCCCUACGGGUUGUAAACUUCUUUUAUAAAGGAGUAAAGUGAGGCACGUGUGCCUUUUUGUAUGUACUUUAUGAAUAAGGCUCGGCUAACUCCGUGCCAGCAGCCGCGGUAAUACGGAGGAACCGAGCGUUAUCCGGAUUUAUUGGGUUUAAAGGGAGCGUAGAUGGGUUUUUAAGUCAGUUGUGAAAGUUUGCGGCUCAACCGUAAAAUUGCAAUUGAAACUGGCAGCCUUGAGUACAGUUGAGGUAGGCGGAAUUCGUGGUGUAGCGGUGAAAUGCUUAGAUAUCACGAAGAACUCCGAUUGCGAAGGCAGCUUACCAAUCUAUAUCUGACGUUGAGGCACGAAAGCGUGGGGAGCAAACAGGAUUAGAUACCCCAGUAGUC
rnacentral:rRNA from 1 species